CACUUCCAGGGAUCCAGGGGCAGCCACAGCUUCUCUGGGCAACCUGUGCCAGGGCCUCACCACCCUCACUGUAAAAAUCUUCUUAUAUCUAAUCUAAAUACACUCUCUUUCAGUUUAAAAACAUUCCCCUGUAUCCCAUCACUUCAGCACCUACUAAAAAGUCUGUCCUCACCUUUCUUCUAAGCCCCCUUUUAAGUAUGGAAAGGCCACAAUAAGGUGUCUCUGGAGAUGAAAAUUAGAAGAGCCUUUUGCUCUUGUUCUCCAUCCAGCGCCCUCGAUUUCCCACAUCCCUCACCCAGUGAAAUUCCCCUACUUCUUCUCCCACCCCAACAAUUAGCAGUUCCUUCUCCCUGCACCCCUGUAAGCAGCAUUGCAAUCCUCUGAUGGAAUUAAUAUCCACAAUAAGGGAUUAUGGAAAAAAAUCCUAUUUGCAGCCAGAGGAAGAGAGACAUAUUUCUGGGUUACUGGAAUAUUCCCUGGCCAGACAUGCCUCUGCAAAACACACUUGUCAAUUAAUUUGAACUCCCUUCUCCGGCAAACCUGGACUUGUUGAUGUCCCUGACAGAGAUGUUUUCUGUCACCCUAUGGAGGCAUCUGACAGGAUCCUAUCCUUGCCCGGCAUAGAAGGACACCCUUCAUCACCCAUCCCAAAUCCUUGCACUUCCUCUUCCAGCUCUUGGCUCAGCUUCCUCAGCAGCCUGACCUUUGCAAAUCCUUGUGGCUGGAAUCGUGGUGAUCCUUUAAAUUGGUAAUUUGUUCUUACCUGGAUAAUCAUGCUUUGUAUUUCUAAGGCCUCUUUAAUCCAAAGAUGUGAAUUAAAUCGGGGGAGGAAGGUAAUGAGCUAUGUCCAGGUAGUCUCAUUAUUCAACUGAAUUAUGUGAAAUACAGGAAAUUAAGGUUAUUAUUUUAAGCUAUGUGGGAGGUCAAGGAGAAAAUCCAAAUGUUCUGAGCUGCAUCUUCUCACCUGUAGCAUGGAAACCAGCAUCAGAGCAGGAUUUCAACCCAUCUGCAGCAAAGCAGUCCCCACAAACCCAGCUCUCCAGGAGCCUGGGCCAUCCCUGUUUCAGGCCUUCCCCAAACAGCAGUGAAUUUAGCCUUGACUUGCAAACAGCCUCGGCACACUGAUUACUGUGCUGGAUACAAAUGCCCUUCUAAAAAUAACUGAGAAGUGGGGGAAGGAGCCUGUCCCCACACUCAGCAUUUCAAAACCACCUUCUCCUCUUGCCAUAGCCAAGCAUUGCUUCACCCAUGGGUACCCUGCUCCGAUAUUUGAUUUUUAUUUUAGAUAGAUAGAUAGAUAGAUAGAUAGAUAGAUGCAUGUAUAUAUAUAUAUAUGUAUAUAUGUAUGUAUAUGAGAGAAUAUUGACAGUUUGGUGCUGUCUCCUGCCACAAACAUCCUGGCUGGCCACAUUCACACCCCAUCACCUCAGUUCCUCUCUAGGUUUUCUUCCAGGCUGUCCCACCCCAUAAGAUUUGGAUGGAGGAGGGACUGCUGGAACCCCACAUCCACCACCACUGGACCCCCAGGCACAGACAGAGAUCUCCACACUCAGGAAGGAGGACAGAGCCACUCACUCAGACUCCAUCAGGAUGGGAAGAAAGACCUUGUCUGUCUCCAGUCCUUCUCUCCUACAGUAGGUCUAUUAUUUGUGCUUUUAAAGGAGGUCUAUUUGCUUUCAAUUCAACUGCAGCCCGACCAAAAUAAUGAUCACUCUGAUUCUGGCAGGAAGAUUGUUGACCCAACUAUUUUAAGAGCUUAUUUUCCUGCAGAAGUCUCUGAGGGAGCAUCUAAGCACUUAAUGCCCAUGGUCACUUCUUAGAAACCCACUGAGGGCACUGCUGUGUCUCCAUGCUGGCAGACAUCCCCAUCAUUCCACCUAUGCCAGAAGGACUUGGGGAAGAAGAAAAGAAUUCUCACCUUCUUGAGUUUAUUUUUUUUACCUGUAUGUAUAGCUGAGCUUUCCGUGCAGGGGAUGUAUAAUUUGAGCAGAACACAGUACGCUGGAUUUUGCCUUCAGCUACACUCUCUGAAGCCAAGAUUUGCUCCAAGCUAGAGAGGGAGUGCCAAGCUACCAGCACACCACAGCUAUGAGCAAGAAAUCUUGAGGUUGGAGCACUUCCCACUGGCAGAGAUCCACCAGUUUCCACUGAAUUACGUAGGAGAGAGCUUAGGAGGAGCUCCUAAGAUCUUCCCAAAGAUGCUCAGUGCUUCCCCAGGAACAGCUCUGGGAGGAUGCUGAGGCAGGAUACGUGUCCCAGCACCCUGUGGACUCUGUGCUUAGCAGCAUAAGGAGCCAGACAGCCUGCCUGAAUUCCCUCUGCUAAGGCGAUGCAGGAACUCCUCUGACACCUCACUACCUCCCUAAAUACAGGCUUUUAAUAAAGAGCCAAUUUAAUUUCCCAAA